AAAUUGAAGAGUUUGAUCAUGGCUCAGAUUGAACGCUGGCGGCAGGCCUAACACAUGCAAGUCGAGCGGUAGCACAGAGAGCUUGCUCUCGGGUGACGAGCGGCGGACGGGUGAGUAAUGUCUGGGAAACUGCCUGAUGGAGGGGGAUAACUACUGGAAACGGUAGCUAAUACCGCAUAAUGUCGCAAGACCAAAGUGGGGGACCUUCGGGCCUCAUGCCAUCAGAUGUGCCCAGAUGGGAUUAGCUAGUAGGUGGGGUAACGGCUCACCUAGGCGACGAUCCCUAGCUGGUCUGAGAGGAUGACCAGCCACACUGGAACUGAGACACGGUCCAGACUCCUACGGGAGGCAGCAGUGGGGAAUAUUGCACAAUGGGCGCAAGCCUGAUGCAGCCAUGCCGCGUGUGUGAAGAAGGCCUUCGGGUUGUAAAGCACUUUCAGCGGGGAGGAAGGCGGUGAGGUUAAUAACCUCACCGAUUGACGUUACCCGCAGAAGAAGCACCGGCUAACUCCGUGCCAGCAGCCGCGGUAAUACGGAGGGUGCAAGCGUUAAUCGGAAUUACUGGGCGUAAAGCGCACGCAGGCGGUCUGUCAAGUCGGAUGUGAAAUCCCCGGGCUCAACCUGGGAACUGCAUUCGAAACUGGCAGGCUAGAGUCUUGUAGAGGGGGGUAGAAUUCCAGGUGUAGCGGUGAAAUGCGUAGAGAUCUGGAGGAAUACCGGUGGCGAAGGCGGCCCCCUGGACAAAGACUGACGCUCAGGUGCGAAAGCGUGGGGAGCAAACAGGAUUAGAUACCCUGGUAGUCCACGCCGUAAACGAUGUCGAUUUGGAGGUUGUGCCCUUGAGGCGUGGCUUCCGGAGCUAACGCGUUAAAUCGACCGCCUGGGGAGUACGGCCGCAAGGUUAAAACUCAAAUGAAUUGACGGGGGCCCGCACAAGCGGUGGAGCAUGUGGUUUAAUUCGAUGCAACGCGAAGAACCUUACCUGGUCUUGACAUCCACAGAACUUAGCAGAGAUGCUUUGGUGCCUUCGGGAACUGUGAGACAGGUGCUGCAUGGCUGUCGUCAGCUCGUGUUGUGAAAUGUUGGGUUAAGUCCCGCAACGAGCGCAACCCUUAUCCUUUGUUGCCAGCGGUUCGGCCGGGAACUCAAAGGAGACUGCCAGUGAUAAACUGGAGGAAGGUGGGGAUGACGUCAAGUCAUCAUGGCCCUUACGACCAGGGCUACACACGUGCUACAAUGGCAUAUACAAAGAGAAGCGACCUCGCGAGAGCAAGCGGACCUCAUAAAGUAUGUCGUAGUCCGGAUUGGAGUCUGCAACUCGACUCCAUGAAGUCGGAAUCGCUAGUAAUCGUAGAUCAGAAUGCUACGGUGAAUACGUUCCCGGGCCUUGUACACACCGCCCGUCACACCAUGGGAGUGGGUUGCAAAAGAAGUAGGUAGCUUAACCUUCGGGAGGGCGCUUACCACUUUGUGAUUCAUGACUGGGGUGAAGUCGUAACAAGGUAACCGUAGGGGAACCUGCGGUUGGAUCACCUCCUUA
rnacentral:rRNA from 1 species